UGCGUAGGUGGUUUCUUAAGUCAGAGAUGAAAGGCUACGGCUCAACCGUAGUAAGCCUUUGAAACUGGGAAACUUGAGUGCAGGAGAGGAGAGUGGAAUUCCUAGUGUAGCGGUGAAAUGCGUAGAUAUUAGGAGGAACACCAGUUGCGAAGGCGGCUUACUGGGCUUUUACUUGACGCUGAGGCUCGAAAGCGUGGGAGGCAAAACA
rnacentral:rRNA from 1 species